UACGGGGGGGGCAAGCGUUGUUCGGAAUUACUGGGCGUAAAGAGCGUGUAGGCGGCCAGAUAGGUCUGCUGUGAAAACUCGAGGCUCAACCUCGAGAUGUCGGCGGAAACCAUUUGGCUAGAGUCCGGAAGAGGAAAGUGGAAUUCCUGGUGUAGCGGUGAAAUGCGCAGAUAUCAGGAAGAACACCCGUGGCGAAGGCGGCUUUCUGGGACGGUACUGACGCUGAGGCGCGAAAGCGUGGGGAGCAAACAGG
rnacentral:rRNA from 1 species